GUGUCAUCUUUAUAUAAACUGACACAAAGGCGAGCAGCUAUCACAGAAUUGUUAUUAAUGUGCCGCGAGCAGCUUAAAGGUGUCUUAGUGAUGAUGAUGCAUUGUUGUGCUCUUGAAAACAACCUGCUGUAUUAAAGUUUGUCUGUCUCUGAAGUAUUUGAUGACAUUGAUAAAGUGCAGCGUUUUAUUCCUGCAGCAGUGAAAUGUUGAUAAAUGUAUUUGUUUCUUGUUUUGGGGACAGAAUUUGUCUUCUUUCUCUGCCUUGACGGUAACCAGGACAGAAUCUGAGCACCUUCUUUGUCUCAGCUAUUGCAGCUGUCAUGCAAGCUUGUGAAUAUAUUGACUUUCCCCCUAUGAAGAAGGGAAUAUUGCCUGCUGUGCACACAGUGAUAGAUGUAUGUUUUAAUGGUCCUUUGUCGUCAGAACAACCAGCCUGGUUUGUGUCCUGGAAGAGGAAAAAUUAAGUCUGCUGUGUGGUUUUCAACAUACACAGCAAGAUCCGUCUUCCAAGGUUCUACAAGAGGUCUGACUCCAGAGGAAAGGCAAACCGGACCUGUGUCUUCCCUUCUUCCUGUCCGGCUGCUACCGAGUGAAGACCAUGUUAUCGUUGGUCCGCCUGUUUCUUUAAAUGCCCAGUGUGCAGAUAAUACAACAUGGACAAAAUUACAGGAAUUUUGCGUAGAGCAUCAGAAUGAGUCAUGGACACAUGAGAACAGAUUA